rnacentral:rRNA from 1 species
UACGUAGGGUGCAAGCGUUGUCCGGAAUUAUUGGGCGUAAAGAGCUCGUAGGCGGUUUGUCGCGUCUGCUGUGAAAACUCGGGGCUUAACCCCGGGCCUGCAGUGGGUACGGGCAGACUAGAGUGCGGUAGGGGAGACUGGAAUUCCUGGUGUAGCGGUGAAAUGCGCAGAUAUCAGGAGGAACACCGGUGGCGAAGGCGGGUCUCUGGGCAGUAACUGACGCUGAGGAGCGAAAGCGUGGGGAGCAAACAGG